rnacentral:misc_RNA from 1 species
CAAAGGUUGAUGAAAUGCCGUGUUCCCGGGGCCGCUCUCUUUCUCUCUCUGAGGGGGAUUGUAUGUUUCGGGGGCGCGGCAUGUACCAACAACCACGAUCAUCCACCGUGUGCACUCAUUGAACCAUGGGGGGGUUGAUUUUUUGACCUCUCAUGGUUCCAAACCUUUCUCCAGCCUUACCGUUUGUCUGAACAUUAUCAUUUUUAAAUGAAAAUA